AUGCAGAUCUCUGAAGCGAAAACAGAAAGGGCUGGCAGGUUGUUGACAAGGAAAAGUUCAGGAAUGUCUCUUCUUACCCUCCAGGUCUCGGUCCAAGAAGGGUCAUGUGUCAUGUGUCUUGUUCUUGUCUUUUCUGCUUUUUGUGCCAACUUUAAAAAAAAAAAAGGCAGAAAACAAAGAAGAUAUAUAGAAGAUAUAUGGAAUUCCAGUGAAUUGUAUUUUGGUGUAAGAUCGGUGUAUGCUGUUGAAAAUUAAAUCUCUGAAGGCUUUGGCAGUUUCAAACUCUGUUGAAGUCAUUGGGAUCUGAAGAUGCUCACAACUUUAUAACCCUUUUAACAAACAACACCAUAAUAAUAAUAAUAAUUUUCAAAGGACUACCCACCAAAUACUGUAAGUAACAGUAGCAAAACCUUUUCAUUUUGUACAAACACCAGUGCUUCUGGGAGACCAUUCCAUUCUCCAAAUGUACAUAUGUUUGAGCAAAGGGUUCCCAGAAACAAGUAACAAGAAUAUUGAGACCAUUGCUCAAUAACCACGGUUUUUAUUUUGCAAUAGUUAUUGAGAUCUGCAGGGGUUUUCCUGGGCUCAAAACUUGGCUGUUUUUAGUAGCAAUAUUUUCAGUUGUGUCAUAUGAAUUGUUUCGUUUUAUUAGAGCUGAAUGCUGUUAUCUGCCAUUUUGGAAUUGCUAGCUAUAUAUCUUGGAGCAAUGUAUUUGUAUGCUGUACAAAUAGCAAAAACCUAUAGCAAAAUGCUGUGUAAUUUGAAUGUUAGCUGUACCCUCUGUGAGUCUCUCGGGUUUGUAUCACUAUCUAGGGAAUGUAUGUGAGCACCUUUGUUAUUUAGCCUGAUUGAUUGUACAUCAUGCAUCCAGAUGCAUUACUUUCAAAACUUAUUCUUGAAUGUUUAGGUAGAAAUUCUGUCUCAAGAGAUAUAUUUUUUUUUCAUAUAGAUAGUUGCCACUUAAGCCAGUUUUGUGGAAAUGACACAUGGAGAUUUUAAGAUGACCUUCAUGUGUUUUACCAAAACCUAGCCUACAUAGUGUUUUGAGACACGAGUAUGAUCAGAUGCUUUUUCUUGUACAGCUAAAGUAUAUAUGCUUUUUUCCAACAGGUUUGCAUAGCCUUCCAGAAAGAACUACUCUUCUUAAGCAGCAGGUAAGGAAAAGAAUGUGGGUAAAAGAUUUGGGGAGGAACAGGAAAGGACAUUUAAUAUAUUUAAUCUUAUUAUACAUUUUUCUACAUUAAAGUCAACAGGCUGCAAAUAUAUUCUGCUACAAAGCUUUUUGUAAGAAAUAUCUCUAUAAGAAAAUACAUCUCAUUAAACAUUUCCUGUAAAUAAAUUAUCCGAAAUAACUACGGUUUGUAAGAAG
rnacentral:lncRNA from 1 species